rnacentral:rRNA from 1 species
GACAGAGGGUGUAAACGUUGUUCGGAAUUACUGGGCGUAAAGCGCGUGUAGGCGGUUAUGCAAGUCGGGUGUGAAAGCCCGGAGCUCAACUCCGGAAGUGCAUUCGAUACUGCGUAGCUAGAGUACUGGAGAGGAUGGUGGAACUCUCGGUGUAGAGGUGAAAUUCGUAGAUAUCGAGAAGAACACCGGUGGCGAAGGCGGCCAUCUGGACAGAUACUGACGCUGAGACGCGAAAGCGUGGGGAGCAAACAGG